GACGAACCGUGCGAACGUUAUUCGGAAUCACUGGGCUUAAAGCGCGUGUAGGCGGCGCGGCACGUCGGGCGCUGAAAGCCCCCGGCUCAACCGGGGAACGGGCGCCGAUACGACCGCCCUCGAGGGACGUAGGGGGACCUGGAACUUCCGGUGGAGCGGUGAAAUGCGUUGAGAUCGGAAGGAACGCCCGUGGCGAAAGCGAGGUCCUGGACGUCUGCUGACGCUGAGACGCGAAAGCCAGGGGAGCGAACGGG
rnacentral:rRNA from 1 species